rnacentral:rRNA from 1 species
UACGUAGGUGGCAAGCGUUGUCCGGAUUUACUGGGCGUAAAGGGCGUGCAGGCGGUCUGUUAAGUUCAGGGUGAAAGCUCCCGGCUCAACUGGGAGAGGUCCUUGGAUACUGGCAGACUUGAGGGAGGUAGAGGAGAGUGGAAUUCCCGGUGUAGUGGUGAUAUGCGUAGAUAUCGGGAGGAACACCAAUGGCGAAGGCAGCCUUCUGGGCCAACACUGACGCUCAUGCACGAAAGCGUGGGGAGCAAACAGG